UGGGAACGUGCCCUUUGGUUCGGAACAACUCCGGGAAACUGGAGCUAAUACCGGAUAAGCCCUUCGGGGGAAAGAUUUAUCGCCAAAGGAUCGGCCCGCGUCUGAUUAGCUAGUUGGUAGGGUAAUGGCCUACCAAGGCUACGAUCAGUAACCGACCUGAGAGGGUGACCGGCCACACUGGGACUGAGACACGGCCCAGACUCCUACGGGAGGCAG
rnacentral:rRNA from 1 species